rnacentral:rRNA from 1 species
UACAGAGGAUGCAAGCGUUAUCCGGAAUGAUUGGGCGUAAAGCGUCUGUAGGUGGCUUUUUAAGUCCGCCGUCAAAUCCCAGGGCUCAACUCUGGACAGGCGGUGGAAACUACCAAGCUGGAGUACGGUAGGGGCAGAGGGAAUUUCCGGUGGAGCGGUGAAAUGCGUAGAGAUCGGAAAGAACACCAACGGCGAAAGCGCUCUGCUAGGCCAAGACUGACACUGAGGGACGAAAGCUAGGGGAGCGAAUGGG